GACGAACGCUGGCGGCGUGCUUAACACAUGCAAGUCGAACGGUAAGGCCCUUCGGGGUACACGAGUGGCGAACGGGUGAGUAACACGUGGGUGAUCUGCCCUGCACUUCGGGAUAAGCCUGGGACACUGGGUCUAAUACCGGAUAGGACCACUGCCUGCAUGGGUGGUGGUGGAAAGCUUUUGCGGUGUGGGACGGGCCCGCGGCCUAUCAGCUUGGUGGUGGGGUGAUGGCCUACCAAGGCGACGACGGGUAGCCGGCCUGAGAGGGUGGCCGGCCACAGUGGGACUGAGGUACGGCCCAGACUCCUACUGGAGGCAGCAGUGGGGAAUAUUGAACAAUGGGCGCAAGCCUGAUGCAGCGACGCCGCGUGAGGGAUGACGGCCUGCGGGUUGUAAACCUCUUUCAGCACCGACGAAGCGCAAGUGACGGUAGGUGCAGAAGAAGGACCGGCCAACUACGUGCCAGCCGCCGCCGCGG
rnacentral:rRNA from 1 species